rnacentral:lncRNA from 1 species
AGGAUGGAUGAAGUGAGUGUUAAAGUUUAGGGUAAAUUGUAUUGUUACUCUCUGAACAUUUAGCGAAGUUUCACUUUACCCCUCGAACUUCUAAAAUGGACAUCUAACCCCCUAAACUCUAUUAUUUCGUUCAUGUUACCCCUUCCGUCAGUUUUCCGUCAAGCUCCGUUAACCGGAAACUGACGGAAAGGAUAAAACGAAUGAAAUAUUAGAGUUUAGGGUGUUAGAUGUCUAUUUUAGGAGUCUGAGGGGUUAAGUGAAACUCGCCAAAAGUUCAGGGGGUAACAAUACAAUUUACCCAAAUUUUUACUAUAAAUUAUUUUUAUAUUUUUAUAUUAAAAAUUUCUAAUUGGCUGAAAUAAAGUACAAAUAUUUUAUUUAAGUGUAUUUUAUAGAACAAUGCUUCUAAAGAUAAAAGGGACAAACGAGUAUUACAGAAAAUUAACUUAGAAUUAAAAUCUCUAUAUUCGAGUGAGGACACUUAUUAUAAAUCAACCAUAUUAGCGAGUAUACCAGGAUAGUAGAGUGUUCGAACAUCGUAGGUAGUUAGUAUCGCUCUUUUUUUAUCUUUAAGCCACUCUAAUUCAUUUCUUUCACUUUUAUUUUAUUACAAUAAAAUGUAGGAUAAAUUAUGGUAUGAUUUAUUUUAGGAUAAUAUAUAUAUAUAUAUUCAAAAUCAAGAAUGAUCACUAACUUGAGGAUUAGUAGUCAAUCCAUAAGUAACAUAUUAUAAUAAAAUAAUUUAUAGUCAAGAGUCCCUUGCGGAGUAAAUUGCACUACUACCUCCUGAACUUUUGGCGAGUUUCACUUAACCUCCCAAACUCUUAAAAUAUACAUCGAACACCCUAAACUCUAAUAUUUCAUUCGUUUUACCCCUUUCGUCAGUUUCCGGUUAACGGAGCUUGACGGAAAACUGACGGAAGGGGUAAUAGAAAGAAAUAUUAGAGUUUAGGAGGUUAGAUGUUCAUUUUAGGAGUUCGAGAGAUAAAGUGAAAAUUCGCCAAAAGUUCAGGGGGUAACAAUGCAAUUUAGUCUAAAUUUUAUAAGAAAUUAAAAUUGUACAUUUUGCUAUGAUUUCAAUUUUUAUACCCGAAUUGUACACGGCGAUUCUUGCUCGUGGUUCGUCCUUGUUCAUAAUAUGCAAAAGAGCGAGACAUUUCGAGUCUAAUUUUCUUAUCCUUUGAGAUGGAGCCGUCACAAGAAUUAAGAUUAGGAUUAGAUCAGGACUCUCGUAUGUCAUAUUUAUAUAUAACUUGAUGUAAAGAUGUUAAAUUACGUCCGUCCAUCAAGAAUGUAUCUGGAUCCAGAUACAUUCUAACCGUUAGAUCUACCAUAUCUUUAUAGAUCGACUUGAAUAUACCGACUGUAUCCAGGGACGGAG